AGUCUUUGCCUGGCCGCAGUACGCCUCACAAAGUCUUUGUGUAAUCUCCAGGGUUAGCAGGCCUCAGAUCAAAAUUAGAAGCCUAAAUGGCAAACUAACCAAAUUGGUUUUUUUUUUAUAAAGUAAAAUCUCUCAAUUCACUUUUAAAAUAAACUUAAUCUGGUUUGAAGUGUCCCUAUGACAACCAUCUCAAUACUGAAUUUUAAUUAUAUGAUAGGUAUGUAGCUAAUUACAUCAAAUAAUAGUUAACAGUUAAAUCGAUCUCUGGCUGUAUUUUUAUUUUUAUUUUUUUGAGAGCUUCUCUCUCUGUCAUCCAGGCUGGAGUGCAGUGACAUGAUCUCGGCUCACUGCAACCUCUGACUUCUGGGUUCAGGCAAUUCGCAUGCCUGUAGUUCCAGCUACUCAGAAGGCUGAGGUUGGAGGAUUGCUUGAGCCCAGGAGUUCAAGGCUGCAAUGAGCCGUGAUCAUGCCACUGUACAUCAGCCUGGGCAACAGAGCAGGACCCUGUCUCAUAAAGAAAAAUAACAACAACUACCACAAAAUGAAGAAUUGGCGAAUGUAGUAACUAGAUCCAAGUUCAUGGUUCUUACAGUUACCACUUCACAAGAAAAAGCCUGUAAGAUUUAAAGCUGAGGAUCACAUGGCUAGUAACACUGAAAGAAGCACUAUAGAACAAGGGAGAUGAAGUCAUUCUGAACAUUCAGAUUACUUAUUUUUAACAAACAACUUAAUAUCUCUAUCUUUUAUAUACUUUUCAGAUUAUAAGUGUAAUUAUGCUUUAGAGAUAAAGACAACCAUGCAAAAUCGUCAAAAACACUUCCUUGUAAAAUGAGCCCUUCCUUCAGCUGACAGGGUUGACAGGAGAUCCCAGGUGGGGAAAACACACCAAAAAGAUUCUUAUACUUAGGCUUUGCUCCACUAGGGACAUUCACAAACAAUCUCCAGGACAUAUUGGUUUCCUUGGGACUAAGGUAUUUGUACAAUGUCCAUUUAUAGGGGGUUAAAGUGCCUGUGAUAGUGGUUGAAAGUUUUGACCCACUUUUACAGAUUAAUCAGCAUUGUGGUGGUUACAGAAUUUCCAGAUAAGGCAUGCUUGCUCUUCUCUAGACAAACUCAUCCACGAUAUCUUAGUAACACUGAUUCUGAGUUACCUUUAGUAUUUUAGGUAGAUCCACACAGUGUGAUUGCUAAUGUUAUUUGUACGGAUUUAGGAGCCACCGAGUGGCUAUCAUUGAACUGUCAAAUAAAUCUCAAUACCUAGUUAAAAUUCUUUUACAAGUAACUUUUCAUAAAGAGGAAUAAAUGUUUACAGUAAGGGAGUAUUUUGUUUACUUGGGCAGCUUUCUAUGAAGAGGAGCAUUUCUUGCAAAGCAAUAUGCCUGAGAAUUAACUUUAGAUUUCAUUUCUAUUUCACUGGAGUAGAUAUGUUUAAAUUAACUUAUAAUUUCUUAAGGAGUCAGAUAAAACAUUAAUUUUCUUUUUAAUUUCUAUACUUGCAGCUAAGAGUCGAAAAUGAACCUAAGAGCCCUUCAUUCCAAAAUCAUGCACAAUUUCUAGUGCUUGUCUACUAUCUACAUAAAUGUUCUCUCUCUCAUAUACUCUUCACUUUUUGCCUCAGGCUGGAUUGUGAGUUCCAGUUACAAAAAUUGAUUCAGCAACCCAGGC
rnacentral:lncRNA from 1 species